rnacentral:rRNA from 1 species
UACGAAGGGGGCGAGCGUUGUUCGGAAUUACUGGGCGUAAAGGGCGCGCAGGCGGCUCAGACAGUCAGAUGUGAAAGCCCCGGGCUUAACCUGGGAACUGCAUUUGAUACUACUGAGCUUGAGUACGGGAGAGGAUAGUGGAAUUCCCAGUGUAGAGGUGAAAUUCGUAGAUAUUGGGAAGAACACCGGUGGCGAAGGCGGCUAUCUGGGCUGUAACUGACGCUGAGGCGCGAGAGCGUGGGGAGCAAACAGGAUAG